AGUGAACGCUGGCGGUAGGCCUAACACAUGCAAGUCGAACGGCAGCACAGUAAGAGCUUGCUCUUACGGGUGGCGAGUGGCGGACGGGUGAGGAAUACAUCGGAAUCUACUUUUUCGUGGGGGAUAACGUAGGGAAACUUACGCUAAUACCGCAUACGACCUACGGGUGAAAGCAGGGGAUCUUCGGACCUUGCGCGAUUGAAUGAGCCGAUGUCGGAUUAGCUAGUUGGCGGGGUAAAGGCCCACCAAGGCGACGAUCCGUAGCUGGUCUGAGAGGAUGAUCAGCCACACUGGAACUGAGCCACGGUCCAGACUCAUACGGGAGGCAGCAGUCGCGAAUCUUGGAACAUGGGCGCAAGCCUGACACAGCCAUACCGCGUGGGUGAAGGAGGCCUUCGGGUUGUUAAGCAGUUGUGUUGGGAAAGAAAAGCAGCAGGUUAAUACCCCGAUGUUCUGACGGUCCCCAAAGAAUAAGCCACGGCUAACUUCGUG
rnacentral:rRNA from 1 species